rnacentral:tRNA from 1 species
CGAGAGUAGCUCAGUUGGUAGAGCGUCAGCCUUCCAAGCUGAUGGUCGCCGGUUCGAACCCGGUCUCUCGCU